CGGGAAACCGGAGCUAAUACCGGAUAAUAUUUUGAACCGCAUGGUUCAAAAGUGAAAGACGGUCUUGCUGUCACUUAUAGAUGGAUCCGCGCUGCAUUAGCUAGUUGGUAAGGUAACGGCUUACCAAGGCAACGAUGCAUAGCCGACCUGAGAGGGUGAUCGGCCACACUGGAACUGAGACACGGUCCAGACUCCUACGGGAGGCAGCAGUAGGGAAUCUUCCGCAAUGGGCGAAAGCCUGACGGAGCAACGCCGCGUGAGUGAUGAAGGUCUUCGGAUCGUAAAACUCUGUUAUUAGGGAAGAACAUAUGUGUAAGUAACUGUGCACAUCUUGACGGUACCUAAUCAGAAAGCCACGGCUAACUACGUGCCAGCAGCCGCGGUAAUACGUAGGUGGCAAGCGUUAUCCGGAAUUAUUGGGCGUAAAGCGCGCGUAGGCGGUUUUUUAAGUCUGAUGUGAAAGCCCACGGCUCAACCGUGGAGGGUCAUUGGAAACUGGAAAACUUGAGUGCAGAAGAGGAAAGUGGAAUUCCAUGUGUAGCGGUGAAAUGCGCAGAGAUAUGGAGGAACACCAGUGGCGAAGGCGACUUUCUGGUCUGUAACUGACGCUGAUGUGCGAAAGCGUGGGGAUCAAACAGGAUUAGAUACCCUGGUAGUCCACGCCGUAAACGAUGAGUGCUAAGUGUUAGGGGGUUUCCGCCCCUUAGUGCUGCAGCUAACGCAUUAAGCACUCCGCCUGGGGAGUACGACCGCAAGGUUGAAACUCAAAGGAAUUGACGGGGACCCGCACAAGCGGUGGAGCAUGUGGUUUAAUUCGAAGCAACGCGAAGAACCUUACCAAAUCUUGACAUCCUUUGACAACUCUAGAGAUAGAGCCUUCCCCUUCGGGGGACAAAGUGACAGGUGGUGCAUGGUUGUCGUCAGCUCGUGUCGUGAGAUGUUGGGUUAAGUCCCGCAACGAGCGCAACCCUUAAGCUUAGUUGCCAUCAUUAAGUUGGGCACUCUAAGUUGACUGCCGGUGACAAACCGGAGGAAGGUGGGGAUGACGUCAAAUCAUCAUGCCCCUUAUGAUUUGGGCUACACACGUGCUACAAUGGACAAUACAAAGGGCAGCGAAACCGCGAGGUCAAGCAAAUCCCAUAAAGUUGUUCUCAGUUCGGAUUGUAGUCUGCAACUCGACUACAUGAAGCUGGAAUCGCUAGUAAUCGUAGAUCAGCAUGCUACGGUGAAUACGUUCCCGGGUCUUGUACACACCGCCCGUCACACCACGAGAGUUUGUAACACCCGAAGCCGGUGGAGUAACCUUUUAGGAGCUAGCCGUCGAAGGUGGGACAAAUGAUUGGGGUGAAGUCGUAACAAGGUAGCCGUAUCGGAAGGUGCGGCU
rnacentral:rRNA from 1 species